UUUUAUUUGCUGAUUUCAUAAAUUUUAAUUUUUAAACUAGGAUUAGAUACCCUAUUAUUCUGAAAUGUAUUUUUUAACACUUAGGUAGUAUUAGUUAUGUUCUUGAAACUUAAAAAAUUUGGCGGUAUUUUAGUCUGUUCAGAGGAACCUGUUGUUUAAUCGAUAGUCCACGUUGGAUCUUACUUUAUUUUGUUCUAGUUUGUAUACCGCCGUUAUUGAAUAUUUUAUUAGAGUAAUAAUUUUCAAUUGUUUUUAUUUAAAUUAAUAUCAGGUCAAGGUGCAGCUUAUAAUAAAGUAUUAAAUGGGUUACAAUAAAUUUAUUUUCGGAUUCUAUAUUUAAAUAUUUAGUUGAAGAUGGAUUUGAUAGUAAAAUUAUGGAGAU
rnacentral:rRNA from 1 species